UCGGAGGAAAAGGAAACCAACAGGGAUUGCCUUAGUAACGGCGAGUGAAGCGGCAAAAGCUCAAAUUUGAAAUCUGGCACUUUCAGUGUCCGAGUUGUAAUUUGAAGAAGGUAACUUUGGAGUUGGCCCUUGUCUAUGUUCCUUGGAACAGGACGUCACAGAGGGUGAGAAUCCCGUGCGAUGAGGUGUCCAAUUCUAUGUAAAGUGCUUUCGAAGAGUCGAGUUGUUUGGGAAUGCAGCUCUAAGUGGGUGGUAAAUUCCAUCUAAAGCUAAAUAUUGGCGAGAGACCGAUAGCGAACAAGUACAGUGAUGGAAAGAUGAAAAGAACUUUGAAAAGAGAGUGAAAAAGUACGUGAAAUUGUUGAAAGGGAAGGGCUUGAGAUCAGACUCGGUAUUUUGCAAGCCUAUCCUUCGUGGAGAGGUUUAUUAGCAGCUUACCGGGCCAGCAUCGGUUUGGAUGGUAGGAUAAUGGCAUUGGAAUGUGGCUCUUCGGAGUGUUAUAGCCUUUGUUGAUACUGCCUAUCUAGACCGAGGACUGCGUCUUGACUAGGAUGCUG
rnacentral:rRNA from 1 species